rfam:Schistosoma mansoni, Puerto Rico, WGS project CABG01000000 data, contig: 0179
AGCUUUUUGAAUCCGUGCAGAGAUUUAGUCAGACAUCAACCUAUUAGGGCUGAUCAGACUUCUAAGAUAAGUAAAUUU